UACGAAGGGGGCUAGCGUUGUUCGGAAUUACUGGGCGUAAAGCGCACGUAGGCGGCGCAGCAAGGUAGAUGUGAAAUGCCUGGGCUUAACCUAGGAACUGCAUUUAAGACUGCUGUGCUAGAGACCGGGAGAGGGUGGCGGAAUUCCCAGUGUAGAGGUGAAAUUCGUAGAUAUUGGGAAGAACACCGGUUGCGAAGGCGGCCACCUGGACCGGCACUGACGCUGAGGUGCGAAAGCGUGGGGAGCAAACAGG
rnacentral:rRNA from 1 species